CCUGGUGGCUCAGGGUAAAGCGUCCGCUUGCAAUGUGGGAGACCUGGGUUCGAUCCCUGGGUCAGGA
rnacentral:tRNA from 1 species